rnacentral:rRNA from 1 species
AUUGAACGCUGGCGGCAUGCCUUACACAUGCCAGUCGAACGGCAGCGGGCCCUUCGGGGUGCCGGCGAGUGGCGAACGGGUGAGUAAUGCAUCGGAACGUACCCGGGAGAGGGGGAUAACCGGCCGAAAGGCUGGCUAAUACCGCAUGAACUCGGAAGAGCAAAGCGGGGGACCUUCGGGCCUCGCGCUCUCGGAGCGGCCGAUGUCCGAUUAGGCUAGUUGGUGGGGUAAAGGCCCACCAAGGCGAUGAUCGGUAGCGGGUCUGAGAGGACGAUCCGCCACACUGGGACUGAGACACGGCCCAGACUCCUACGGGAGGCAGCAGUGGGGAAUCUUGGACAAUGGGCGCAAGCCUGAUCCAGCAAUGCCGCGUGGGUGAAGAAGGCCUUCGGGUUGUAAAGCCCUUUCGGCGGGGAAGAAAUCGGUCAGGCGAAUAGUCUGGCCGGAUGACGGUACCCGCAGAAGAAGCACCGGCUAACUACGUG